GACGAACGCUGGCGGCGUGCUUAACACAUGCAAGUCGAACGAUGAAGAAGAGCUUGCUCUUCGGAUUAGUGGCGAACGGGUGAGUAACACGUGACUAACCUGCCCCUUUCUCUGGGAUAACGCUCCGAAAGGAGUGCUAAUACCGGAUACUCACAUCGAGGCACAUGCCUUGAUGUGGAAAGUUUUGCGGAAAGGGAUGGAGUCGCGGCCUAUCAGCUUGUUGGUGAGGUAACGGCACACCAAGGCGACGAGGGGUAGCCGGCCUGGGAGGGGGACCGGCACCACUGGGACUGAGACACGGCCCAGACUCCUACGGGAGGCAGCAGUGGGGAAUAUUGAACAAUGGGCGAAAGCCUGAUGCAGCGACGCCGCGUGAGGGAUGAAGGUCUUCGGAUUGUAAACCUCUUUCAGUAGGGACGAAGCGAAAGUGACGGUACCUAAAGAAGAAGCACCGGCUAACUACGUGCCAGCAGCCGCCGUAA
rnacentral:rRNA from 1 species